CAGCCGCCACGGGAAUACGUAGGUGGCAAGCGUUGUCCGGAAUUAUUGGGCGUAAAGGGCUCGCAGGCGGUUCCUUAAGUCUGAUGUGAAAGCCCCCGGCUCAACCGGGGAGGGUCACUGGAAACUGGGAAACUUGAGUGCAGAAGAGGAGAGUGGAAUUCCACGUGUAGCGGUGAAAUGCGUGGAGAUGUGGAGGAACACCAGUGGCGAAGGCGACUCUCUGGUCUGUAACUGACGCUGAGGAGCGAAAGCGUGGGGAGCGAACAGGAUUAGAUACCCGGGUAGUCCCUGUCUCUUAUAC
rnacentral:rRNA from 1 species